rnacentral:rRNA from 1 species
UACGGGGGGGGCAAGCGUUGUUCGGAAUUACUGGGCGUAAAGGGCUCGUAGGCGGCCAACUAAGUCAUACGUGAAAUCCCUCGGCUUAACCGGGGAACUGCGUCUGAUACUGGAUGGCUUGAGUUCGGGAGAGGGAUGCGGAAUUCCAGGUGUAGCGGUGAAAUGCGUAGAUAUUGGGAGGAACACCGGUGGCGAAGGCGGCCACCUGGACAGUGACUGACGCUGAGGCGCGAAAGCAUGGGUAGCAAACAGG